rnacentral:rRNA from 1 species
UACGGAGGGUGCGAGCGUUGUCCGGAAUCAUUGGGCGUAAAGGGCGCGUAGGUGGCGGCUUAAGCGUGCGGUGAAAGCUCGGGGCUCAACCCCGAGUCGGCCGUGCGAACUGAGUCGCUUGAGCACUGUAGAGGCAGGCGGAAUUCCGGGUGUAGCGGUGGAAUGCGUAGAGAUCCGGAAGAACACCGGUGGCGAAGGCGGCCAGCUGGGUCGUCCCUGACGCUGAGGCGCGAAGGCGUGGGGAGCGAACGGG